GUCAGUCAUUUAGUAAGUCCGUCAGUACAAAUAGUUUCAUAUAUAGAGAUAUAUGUAUAAUUUCCUGUUUCUCAACAUUUGUAUGACAAAAUUGCUCGACAAAUUCGUAUCUAGAAAAAAGAUCGUAUUUAACAAAUGUUAGACCAAAGCCUAGGAGUUGGCCAAGAAUUAAUCUGACCAGAGCAAAAACAAUGGGCAAACAACAAAUUGUAAGGCACGAAAUACCAAUUGUUCAAAAAUAAGGUAUUUUCAUCGGAAUUAUGGAGAUAUAUUAAACAAGAUAAUAACUAAGCUUUUCCAUAUAGUAAUGGAAUAUACAUGGAUCACCGCGAAUAUAUAAACAUAAAAGUACAAAUUAUGUGCGAAGAUGAUUAUAAAAUCUAUUUAAUCAGAUGAUGAACUUAACACUUGACACAAUUUCAAUUUGGCUUCGAUUUCACUUUGCAUCAAGUACUUCUAGGACAAUGGCAAAAUGCAAAUACAAAUUAAUUCGAAAAAAAUGAUACAAAAGCUAAAGCGGCGCUGCGUCGCCUGCAGCAGCCGUAUUCCAUAAAACAGCAACAAGAAAAAGAACAACGACAAAAACAACAACAUGCUGCGCUGUUAGCUAGCAAACUGAGAAGUGAACUUGUCGUUGUCCUCGUCGUUGUCGCCAUCGCCGUCGUCCUCGUUGUCGUCAAUAAGUCAAAAGUUGGAAUUUCAUUAUGCCAGCCUAAAAGUAGGCAACGCAUUUGGCAGACAAACAGCCACAAAACUCAGCGUCACGCGGCGGAUGGCGGAUGGCUGAUGGCAACUGAAACUGAAACCAAACGCUGUGCCAUUGGCUGUCCUGCUGCACACCACCCCAUCCACCACCGGAGCCAGCGCAUGGCCUGCGUCCAGCCCCGCCCACUGCCCGUUUUGAGCGACAGCAUACUCGGCAAAUUUGUCAUUUUGCCAAAUGUCUAGCGGCUUGAGUUGCUGUACAACCGCAACGACUCUGAGGCGGAUUGCGAAUCAGUUCGCGACGGCAACAAAAAAUCAACUGCUCGCUGAGAAGUAAAUAUACUUGAAUAGUGGAAGACACACUCAAAACAAACGCACAUCGAAAAAUACUCUGGAACCAACUUGAUUUUAAUGCCUCAAUUAUUGAGUAAAUGAUUUAAUAUAUUAACUGAAUUCAAAUAUAUAUCGCUACUAAUGCUGAUCUUCAGUUCUA